CUCCCUUGUUAAGGUAUAAGAUGCUUUCGGCUUUAGAAAUUUCUCAGGUGACACCUCAACCAGCUUUAAUAGAGGAUGCUUGCAUAUGUCCUUCAUAUCUACUCGAGCUUUGAGAUUGUCUUUCAUUUUGCCCUUGAUAUCCAUAACAGUAUAAAAAAUAUUAUUGAAUACAUUCUUCUCGAUAUGCAUGAUGUCAAGAUUAUGAUGGAUCAAAUUGAUGGACCAAUACGAUAAUUCCCAAAAGAUGCUUCGCUUCACCCAGUUAUGAGUUGUACCGAACCUCCGAGGCUUCUGCUUGUCAAAUUCAAUACCAAAUGAGACUUCAUCCAAUUGAUAUACCCUCUGAAAUAUUUUCAUACCACUGAGGCACUGGGGCGGAUGGUCCUUCUCUAUCUUAUUCCUCCUGAAACUGUCCCGCUGCUUUCAAAAAGAAUGAUGCUCGGGGAGAAAUUGACGAUGACAAUCGAACUAACAGAGCUUACGACCAUGCUCAAGCUGAAAUGAUUUUGUAUUCUCCAUGCAAUAGGGAUAUUCUAGCUUCCCAUGAGUGCUCCAUCCUGACAGCAUCUCAUAAGCAGAAAAAUCACUAAUGGUCCACAUCAACGCAGCCUUCAUUACAAAUUCUGCUUCUUCGAUGCAUCAAAAGUAUGAAUGCCAUCGGACCAUCACAAUUUUAACUAAUCAAUAAGAGGCC
rnacentral:lncRNA from 1 species